rnacentral:rRNA from 1 species
GACGAACGCUGGCGGCGUGCCUAAUACAUGCAAGUAGAGCGCUGAAGGUUGGUACUUGUACCGACUGGAUGAGCAGCGAACGGGUGAGUAACGCGUGGGGAACCUGCCUUUGAGCGGGGGACAACAAUUGGAAACGAAUGCUAAUACCGCAUAAAAACUUUAAACACAAGUUUUUAGUUUGAAAGAUGCAAUUGCAUCACUCAAAGAUGAUCCUGCGUUGUAUUAGCUAGUUGGUGAGGUAAAGGCUCACCAAGGCGAUGAUACAUAGCCGACCUGAGAGGGUGAUCGGCCACACUGGGACUGAGACACGGCCCAGACUCCUACGGGAGGCAGCAGUAGGGAAUCUUCGGCAAUGGACGAAAGCCUGACCGAGCAACGCCGCGUGAGUGAAGAAGGUUUUCGGAUCGUAAAGCUCUGUUGUUAGAGAAGAACGUGUGUGAGAGUGGAAAGCUCAUACUGUGACGGUAACUACCCAGAAAGGGACGGCUAACUACGUG